rnacentral:lncRNA from 1 species
ACUAAAGCAAUUGUUGAAAAUAAAAUAUGCUAAAUUACUGAAUAACAGAAGAAUUCAAAUUUCAGCAGUAAAUAAGAAGCAGCAGGAGAUGAUUCUGAAAAUGAGUAGCCUUGGUGGUGGAAAGAUUAAAGUGCAUGUACCAGGAAUGGCAGCAAAGUUAAGAGGAGUGAUUUCAAAUGUGCCUCUGGAAAUGUCCAUGGAAGAUGUGAAGAAUGAGAUAGAAGGUGGGAAUGUAACAGAAGCCAAAAGAUUCCAAAUUAAUAAAGGUGGUGUUAAAUCAGAUAGCCUGUCUGUACUGCUUGUUUUUGAAAAGGUAAUGCCUACUGAAGUCCAAAUGGGUUGGAUCAAAUACAAAAUGAGGGAAUACAUUCCACAACCGUUAAGGUGCUUCAAAUGUCAGAGAAUGGGACAUACAGCACAACAGUGUAAAUGGAGACAAAGAUGUGCAAAAUGUGGAGGAGAACAUGACUAUGGUAAAUGUGAAAAGGAUGCUAAGCUAAAAUGCUGCAAUUGUGGAGGUGAGCAUAGUGCUGCAUAUGCUGGAUGUGUGGUUCAGAAACAAGCUAAAGAGGUACAAAGAUACAAGGUUAUGAAUAAGGUGACAUAUGCAGAGGCAUUAAAGGGUAUUGGUAUUUAUGAAAACAAACAAAAUAAACCAAUAGAAUAUCAGGAAAAUUUGAAUGACAAUGCAAGGUAUGCAGUACCACAGAGUUCAGACAUAAGGAAAUAUCAGCCAGGAAGGCCAGCACCUCCACAGCAGCCAUGCAAUCAUAAGUGUAAAGUUGAGGAGAACACCUUGAUUGUGGAAAAGAAAAGUUUUAUAGCUUUUAUGUGCAAAGUUGUUAAUGUUGUGACACGACAAGAAAGAAAAAGCGAUAGAAUCAAGACAGUUGUGGAAGCUGCAGAGGAGUUUCUAGGCAUUAAAGAUGUAAAAGCUGAAGAUAUACAUAGUAUGUUGAGUGCUAAUAAUGAUGGGGGAUCUCAGAGUGUUAACUAGUCUUGUAAUGGUAUUCCACCUCUUGCAAUGGAAUGCUAGAAGCUUGAUUGCAAAUGGACAAGAGUUUAAAAAGUUUGUUGCAGAAUCU